GUAGGUAUAGCUCAGUUGGUUAGAGCGUCUGGUUGUGGUUCAGAAGGUCGUGGGUUCGAUUCCCAUUACUUACCCCA
rnacentral:tRNA from 1 species